UACAGAGGCCUCGAGCGUUUAGGCGGAAUCACUGGGCUUAAAGCGCGUGUAGGCGGACCGUUAAGUGCCUUGUGAAAUCCCACGGCUCAACCGUGGAACCGCUGGGCAUACUGGCGGUCUUGGGCCACUCAGGGGCAACCGGAACAAGCGGUGGAGCGGUGAAAUGCGUAGAUAUCGCUUGGAACGCCAAAGGUGAAGACAGGUUGCUGGGGGUGUGCCGACGCUG
rnacentral:rRNA from 1 species